GAUGAACGCUGGCGGCAUGCCUAACACAUGCCAGUCGAUCGGUAAGGCUCUUCGGAGUACACGAGAGGCGGACGGCUGAGUAACGCGUAGGAACACACCCUGCAGUGAGGGAUAAGACACCGAAAGGUGUUCUAAUACCGCAUACGGUCUUCGGAUUAAAGCAUUUAUGCGCUGAAGGAGUGGCCUGCGUCAUAUUAGAUAGUUGGUGAGGUAAUGGCUCACCAAGUCGAUGAUGUGUAGCUGGUCUGAGAGGAUGAUCAGCCAGACUGGAACUGAGACACGGUCCAGACUCCUACGGGAGGCAGCAGUGAGGAAUAUUUCACAAUGAGCGAAAGCUUGAUGGAGCAAUGCCGCGUGCAGGAUGAAGGCCCUCGGGUUGUAAACUGCUUUUAUAAGAGAAGAUUAUAACGGUAACUUAUGAAUAAGGGACGGCUAACUACGUG
rnacentral:rRNA from 1 species